AAUUUUGGUGCCUUCCAAGGGCCAAAGUACAAGAGGCACCUGCUGCUAACCAGGAUCCAGCGGCCUCUCUGUGGAUCAGGAGGACGAGGCCAGCAGGGCUCCAGAGGGCAGUGAAACUCCAGACAGGAGUAAGCACUGUCUGCUUUCCCCCUUGACCUCAGGACCUCCAGCCCUUCUGGGACUGCAGGUAUUCGCAGCCUGCAGACAAGAUGGAGGUGAGACGCCGGUGCGAACCUACAAGCAGAAGGAGCGCCAGCAGAAUUCUGGAGUUCAGGUCGCCAAACAGACGCAGUAAUUCCUAACAUUUGCACGCGGUCCGACUGAAAGUGGACGCGCCCUCGCAGGCCACGCCCUUUCCGGUUGCAGCAUUCCAGCAAUGUCUCGGAAGAAGGAUUGCGGUCUCUGCGCAGGAGAAACACCCACACUAGGAAAGCUAUCUCCCUUCAAGGGAACUCGGAAGGGAGUUACAAGAAGUGGGCGCUGGAGGAUGGCUCGGAAGGAGCUGUCUUUGGGCAGGGUAAGCCUGCCGACCAGUGCUGGACUCUUACCUCGCGUGGCCUGACAUCACCUCCUCUCCAAAUUGUUACAGGCCAUUGUCUCAGUCCCAGACAAUGCAGUCUUGGCGCCGCCUACCCCAUCACGCUCUCUGCUGCUUCAAGGCCCAUGUACAGGAUGGAAACUGAGAAACAGCCCUGCCCUCUUUUGUAGCCCCGAAUUGUCCAGUCGCACACCCAACGAUGUGUGUACCCAACACAGGGCCGACAUACUGCGUGGGGCCGUACCGGAUCAGAGCAGUGAGCUGCAGGGGGCCCAGAGGCAAGCACUCAACGGAAGACUCACAGAUCUGUGUGUCCGAGCAAGGUUCAGUAUUAAGGUGUUGAGUAUUUUAACAAACUGUUAAAAGUUGUAAACAUUGAAGCAGGCUAGAAAGACAGGGAAAAAAGUAAGGAGACAUGGGAAGGAAAAGGAGCCCCUCCCUAGCUGAAAGUCAAGAAUUCCGGCACAACUGACUUUUGUUGUGAAGACUGGCUGCAUAGAAGCAAUAUGCUUCUUUUAUACAGAAGUAAUUUCAAAUAACAAUGUUAAAAUAACAAUGACCCAUGCUUAAGCCCUGCGUGUAUAUGACCUUAGAAUAUGGGUUUACUUCUUUCCCACAUUGGAACCUGAAAAUUUCUGAGUUUCAAAGACAAAAGUUUACAGUAAAAGCUCCAUGCAGCUGGGCAUGAGGUUGCAUGCCUUUAAUCCCAGCUCUCAGGAGGCAGAGGCAGAUGGAUCUCUGUGAGUUCAAGGCCAGCCUGGUCCACAAAGACAGUUCCAGGACAACCAGAGCUGUUACACAGAGAAACCCUGUCUUCAAAACCAAAACAAACAAAAACCCUCCACGCAACCCUUGAACCCUAGUGUUUUACCUUAUCAGCUGUAAUACUGUCCAGUACACAUCAGGAGCGCUUUAUGGCCACAUUUAAAUCCUUUAGCAACCCUUUGAUAUGGAACUUCAGAUGACACCGGCAUCUUGCAUGGCCACUGUAAAGAUAUUUAAGGGGGACCGUCUGGAGAGACCCACAUUCCCACUUGGGCAGGUACUUUUCUAUUUCCUAUAAGCCUGCCCCCCCCCCAUCAUGUGUAAGUCUGUGUUAAAUUCUCUUCUUAAUUAAUUCCAAAUUUACUUCAUACUGACUCAUCCUGAAAUUUCCUAGGGUGUAGUAAGAAGUCCAGUUUCAUAAGCCUUGGCAUGGAGCUGUGUCUUCAGCCCAUGGGCCAACUACUGCUCAGAGAAUCCAAAUGGAAUCACUGUCAAAACCCUACUCAAAUGAGGCUGAGGGUGAUGAUACCAGCCUGUAAUCUCAACACUUGGAAGCCUGUGGCAUUGGGAUUGCUAGCCACUCUGGACUACAUGGUGAGUUGCAAGUCAGUUGAGGGUACCUAGGGAGACCCUGCCACAAUAGAAACCUACCUAGGAGCCCGGCCGUGGUGGCGCACGCCUUUAAUCCCAGCACUCGGGAGGCAGAGGCAGGCGGAUCUCUGUGAGUUCGAGACCAGCCUGGUCUACAGAGCUAGUUCCAGGACAGGCUCCAAAGCCACAGAGAAACCCUGUCUUGAAAAAAAAAGAAAAAAAAAAAAGAAACCUACCUAGGGCCGGGGAGAUGGCUCAGAAGGUAAAAGUACUAGCUGCACAAACCCGAGGACCUCAAUCUGAUACCUGGAACCCAUGUAAGAAGCUGUAUUCUGUGGCAUGCAGCUGCAAUCCUAGUACUCCUGUGGCUGAGAUGGAGAGGCAGACACAGAAGGAGCCAGCUAGCCUAUAGUAGACACCACUCUACUUAAAGUCUCUUGACAAGGGUACCUUAGCGUUGACUGUGCUCUAAGGAGCAAACAGUCGGAGACAGGAAGUGCACUCAAUUUUUAUUCUAUUACAAGUGGUGAUGAAGAACCAGCCUGCCUCCAUCUUAGACUUAAAAGCCAUCUUAUUAUUUCUUUCUAUUUUUCUUUUUAAGAUUUAUUUAUUUAUUAUGUAUAGUAUUCUGCCUGCGUGUAUCCUUGCAAGCCAGGAGGAGGAUACCGGAUCCCAUUAGAGAUGGUUGUGAGCCACCAUGUGGUUGCUGGGAAUUGAACUCAGGACCUUUGGAAGAGCAGUAAGUGCUCUUAACCUCAGAGCCACCUCUCCAGCCCUAAAAACCAUCCUAUAAUAAAGACAAACUAGGUUCAUUCCUGUUUAUGAUUAAACCUGUUUCUCCAGGAUUGAACUGUGCCCCACUUGUAACCUUGACUACACAUGGUUCUGUACUGCCUGUUCCAGGAAUGGCAAUCAUGUCUUUGUUUCAAAAAGUUGUUUAUAGCCAUCUUGCAACCCUACAGUUUGUUUCAAAAGGUUAUCUGACCCCCUAUGACCACCUUGUUAUGACCACCUGCUGUUCUGACUUUCUUGUUCUGUCCACCUUCUACCACGACUUUGUUUGAGGAGGUCAUUAGGACUAAAUGGUCAUGCUUAUGUUCUGCUCCUGUAACCCCUAUUUUGCCUGCCAGAUCCCCCAUUCGGGAAACCCCCUACCCUUGAGCUAUGAAAGCCUUGUCUUCCUCACAUCUAGUGGUGACCCCUCGAAUCUCCCCUUAGGGGUUGACAGCCCGUAUUCAGAAAUAAAAAGUUUGCUUUAA